rnacentral:rRNA from 1 species
AGUGAACGCUGGCGGUAGGCCUAACACAUGCAAGUCGAACGGCAGCACAGUAAGAGCUUGCUCUUACGGGUGGCGAGUGGCGGACGGGUGAGGAAUACAUCGGAAUCUACUUUUUCGUGGGGGAUAACGUAGGGAAACUUACGCUAAUACCGCAUACGACCUACGGGUGAAAGCAGGGGAUCUUCGGACCUUGCGCGAUUGAAUGAGCCGAUGUCGGAUUAGCUAGUUGGCGGGGUAAAGGCCCACCAAGGCGACGAUCCGUAGCUGGUCUGAGAGGAUGAUCAGCCACACUGAAACUGAGACACGGUCCAGACCCCUACGGGAGGCAGCAGGGGGGAAUAUUGGACAAGGGGCGCAAGCCUGAUCCAGCCAUACCGGGUGGGUGAAGAAGGCCUGCGGGUUGUAAAGCCCUUUUGUUGGGAAAAAAAAGCAGCAGGUUAAAACCCCGCUGUUCUGACGGUACCAAAAGAAUAAGCACCGGCUAACUUCGU